rnacentral:ncRNA from 2 species
ACUAUAUCUAGUGUUCGAGGUUCUCCCGAUUCGCAAGGAUUGGGAGCGAAGAUGGGAAUACGGUGCCGUCGUAGCGAUUUCGCUUGGCUAAGCCGUGGCUGCCCCCGCAACUGUAAACGGCGAGCAACUGUCCAGCAUUCGGCCACUGAAGCAUGAUGCUUCGGGAAGGUCCGGACAGAAGCACCGACCCGUGAGCCAGGAGACCUGCCUCGAUCGAUAAACGUCC